CCAUCCAGAAAGAUCCCUGCGGUCUGGAAGCCGAAGGAAGAACUUUUUGUGCACCUGCUUUGCUGUGUCAGGGAGGGACCCCUCGAGCUUGCUGGUGGCCGAGCCUCCAGGAUGUCCAGGCUGCUCAUCAGAAUUGCACUGUGAAGUACAAGGUCAUCACCGCCUUUCCCAGGAAGGAGACCCUGACAGGUUAACUCCCAAGGUCUCAGGGCUCACCGAAAUAACACACCAACAUUAGGAGAUGGCUCCCGCUUGUUGACUGAAAAAAAUGGGAAAGCCAUUUUUAGAGAAGAAAAGGAUGCUGUUUUCUCUUCUAGACCCUCAUUUU